GAUGAACGCUAGCUACAGGCUUAACACAUGCAAGUCGAGGGGAAACGGCAUCGAAUGCUUGCUUUUGAUGGGCGUCGAGCGGCGCACGGGAGAGUAACGCGUAUCACACCUGCCCAUGACUUGGGAAUAACAUUGCGAAAGUAAUACUAAUGCACAAUGACAACCCACGAAGGCAUCAGAAUGGGAUUGAUGAUUUAUCGGUGAUGGAUGGGGACGCGUCUGAUUAGCUUGUUGGUGGGGUGACGGCUCACCAAGGCAACGAUCAGUAGGGGAUCUGAGAGGCAGCACCCCCGCAUUGGAACCGCGACACGGACCACACUGCGACGCAGCGCAGGAGAAAGUAAUACAGUGCAAUGAGCGUGGGCCUAGACCAGCCAAGUAGCGUGCAGGAGGACGGGCCUAUGGGUUGUAAACUGCUUUGAUAAGGGAAUAAAGUGGGUCACGUGUGACUUUUUGCAGGUACCUUAUGAAUAAGAACCGGCUAAUUCCGUG
rnacentral:rRNA from 1 species